AUUGAACGCUGGCGGCAUGCUUUACACAUGCAAGUCGAACGGUAACAGGCCGCAAGGUGCUGACGAGUGGCGAACGGGUGAAUAAUGCAUCGGAACGUGCCCAGUCGUGCGGGAUAACUACUCGAAAGAGUAGCUAAUACCGCAUACGAUCUAUGGAUGAAAGCGGGGGACCGUAAGGCCUCGCGCGAUUGGAGCGGCCGAUGUCAGAUUAGGUAGUUGGUGGGGUAAAGGCUCACCAAGCCAACGAUCUGUAGCUGGUCUGAGAGGACAACCAGCCACACUGGGAGUGAGACACGGCCCAGACUCCUGCGGGAGGCAGCAGUGGGGAAUUUUGGGCAAUGGGGGCAAGCGUGAUCCAGCAAUGCCGCGUGCAGGAAGAGGGCCUUCGGGUUGUAAACUGCUUUUGUACGGAGCGAAACGGCUCUGGUUAAUACCCGGGGACAAUGACGGUACCGUAAGAAUAAGCACCGGCUAACUACGUG
rnacentral:rRNA from 1 species